rnacentral:lncRNA from 13 species
AAUGUGCAGGAGUCUAUCCCAGAGUUACACUGCCUGGAGUUGGUGGAUAGGCAACACAGGUACUCCACUGGCUGCCACAACUGGUGUUGCAUUGGGUAACAACCAAAGUCCACUGUCUCUGAGGUGAGUGCAGCACCAGGGCUUGACUUAGGAUUGCAUUCUUUGUGACGUGACUGCCAUUCAAAUUUACUCCAUUUCCUGAGGCAUUUUCAUCAGCUGAUGGUAAAGCCAGCUGACACUUGAGUUCAUCCAUUUGAGGUGGGGAAUUUCCCCCAGGCACAGGACUGGUGUAAAUAUUCCUUCCAUGAGCAUUGGCAGAAUCCUACCCUCUGUGGUAUUCCACUUUGACAGAGCAGCCCUGAAUGCCAGUGGAAAGUUUCACACUCGCUUCUGUCCCCCUCUCCAAAUCACAUAGGUUUUCUUUCUGCUGAGCUGCCGAAGGUUAAGAGAGGGGUAGUAUAGGCAAUAUAAGACUGUCCUUUCUGCCUUCUGCAAUUCUUUCCCUGAUAGUAUGUUGAAACCAGGUGCUGUAAUAUCUCACUUGAUUUUUGGGGAUCUGUAAAGCUAAAGAGCUUUAUUCUACCAUUUUGUUCUACUUCCUUCUCCUGCAGAAAUUUUGUAACCACCUGAGUCACUUGCCUUAAGUUUUCUUUAAAAAGUAGCUAAAUAUAGUAAUAAUAAUAAGUAAAGUAGCAUUUAUGGCUGGGCACAUGGCUCACACCUGUAAUUCCAGCACUUUGGGAGGCCAAGGUGGGUGGAUCACCUUAGAUCAGAAGUUUGAGACCAGCCUGACCAACGUGGUGAAACCCCAUCUCUACUAAAAAUACAAAAAAUUAGCCAGGCAUGGGGGCAGGCACCUGUAAUCCCAGCUACUUGGGAGGCUGAGGUGGGAGAGUCACUUGAACCCGGGAGAUGAAGAUGAGUAGAGAUCGUGUUGUUGCACUCCAGCCACAUGACAAGAACGAAACACGACCUCAAAAAGUAACAAUUAAAAUAAAAUGUAGCAUUCACAUAAUUUAAUAAGAGAU